UACGUAGGGGUGCGAGCGUUGUCCGGAAUUAUUGGGCGUAAAGGGCUCGUAGGCGGUCUGUUGCGUCAGGAGUGAAAACUCGGGGCUUGAACCCCGAGCCUGCUUCUGAUACGGGCAGACUAGAGGUAUGCAGGGGAGAACGGAAUUCCUGGUGUAGCGGUGAAAUGCGCAGAUAUCAGGAGGAACACCGGUGGCGAAGGCAGAUCUCUGGGCCGUAACUGACGCUGAGGAGCGAAAGCAUGGGGAGCGAACAGG
rnacentral:rRNA from 1 species